rnacentral:rRNA from 1 species
CCUACGGGAGGCAGCAGUGGGGAAUAUUGCACAAUGGGGGAAACCCUGAAGCAGCGACGCCGCGUGAGUGAAGAAGUAUUUCUGUAUGUAAAGCUCUAUCAGCAGGGAAGAAAAUGACGGUACCUGAUUAAGAAGCCCCGGCUAACUACGUGCCAGCAGCCGAGGUAAUACGCAGGGGGCAAGCGUUAUCCGGAUUUACUGGGUGUAAAGGGAGCGUAGACGGCAGCACAAGUCUGGAGUGAAAUGCCGGGGCUUAACCCCGGGACUGCUUUGGAAACUGGGCAGCUAGAGUGCAGGAGAGGUAAGUGGGAUUCGUAGUGUAGCGGUGAAAGGCGUAGAUAUUAGGACGAACACCAGUGGCGAAGGCGGCUUACUGGACUGUAACUGACGUUGAGGCUCGAAAGCGUGGGGAGCAAACAGGAUUAGAUACCCGAGUAGUC